UAACAUUUUUGUUUUCGAAAAAAAAUGGUACAGUUAUGUGCCGAAAUUCAUGGAUUUAGCAAAUAAUAUAAUAUCAUUGUUCUGGUGGAUCAUUGAAAUUUAUUUGAUAUGAGCUGGUGGGUAGCGAAUGGUGGAUAAAUCCCCUCAAUUGUACUGGCUUUGCACUGAUUUCUUGGCUUUUGAUGUAUUCUUUGUGAUCUUCUUACUUGUUCUGGCUUGUGCUAUUGGUCUCAGAAAUUGUUGUUUCUUUCCAUGUAUUGUUGCUAUUCUUAUACAUUGUAGCUGAUAAGGUAAUGGUCUCGUAAUUUUUCUACUUUCUCUAACUUUAUUUUUGUAUUCUUUUCUCUACGAGUAAUUCGUUCUAGGGGAAUGUAUAUUUGAAGAUAGUUCUCUGUCAUAUAGGUUCAUUAAGAUGAUUGAUAAUCUUAUGUAAUUAGUUUGUUGUUGUUCGAUCCACUGGAGUGUUGACCCUUAUGAAUUCCAUGUGAAAGUGCUCUGCAUUUGCACCUGUUUAUCUUAGAUGAAUUUAAUGUAAUUUCUUAUUCUGUCUGAAGAUUGUGUUUUAUGAUGCCCUUAACACAUUCAAGAGCUACAAGGAUGGAGCAGAUGAUAGUCGUGCAAUAAAGUAAGGUUUGCAUCAACCUAUGUGACUAGACUAGGUUAAUGUCGUGAAAUGUAAAUAUGACUCUUCCUGUUAUUGAUAGGUUUACUAUGAGGUUUCUUUAAGAUUAAUUGGGCUGCUCAUAUCAGCUGAUUAUGUUGCUGAUACAUUCAAGCUUCCAUUGGUAGACUGGAAACAUAGAAUUAGGAGCAUUAAAGAAGUGGUCGACAUAAUUUCAUUUCCCUGAAGAUAUAUGUUUUCCAUUAUCUGAAAGGAGAUCCUCGGGAUGCUCUUUUCAGAAGAAAAUGAAAUAAACACUUUAGUUGACUAAGAUAAUUGGCAACUCAACGGAGUACUUGGUCUUCAUUCUUCAUGUCAAUAGUGGCAGAAUGUCAUUAUGUCCGGUAAUAACAUUGAUGUAGAAUCAUUAGACAAGCUCAAUCUACUCCAUUCCAAGAACAUGAGUGGGCUCCAAAUUUCAGCGGCUCAUUCAGUAGAAGAUAUUCUCUCUUUCUAAACACACUUGUUAAUUCACGAUUUACAUCAGGUCAGGUUUUCUCCCAUUGAAUUCUCCUCACAAGCAAACAUAUUUGGAAAUCGUGGAUCAAGGAAUUUCCUUUUUUCGCAUACUAUAACUAUAGUAAUGUUUGUGCGACAUUUUUUAAAUGAUUCUUUCAAUAUUUUCUACAGAAAGGAGCAGCCAAAGAAGAUGUUGAAAAACUGUCAAAGUACAUAUUCCAACACAAUGAUUGUACCGAGAAGAAAUGUACUAGUGAGAUCCAAUGAACAUUUGCUAGAUUCAUGACCCUGUGGGGGGAUAUGCAUCAAGAGAUGAAAGCAGAGUUCCCGUAGAUGAUUCUUAUCCUUGUAUCGACAACUGGCUAUAUAUGAGAGCGACUGGCCCUCUUUGCAAAUGCAACAUCUUUAGGGCUAGCAGUUUUUGUGGAGGAGUUUAAGAGAGUGUCAUCGACAAGACUGAAGGUGUUCGUUGCGAGUUUUCACAAUGUGGCUAUGCUGAAAAUGGAAUAUGCGAAUGGUAGACCACUGGAUGAUGAUUCUGCCAAGGCAAUCGACAUGAUAAAUGAAAGGAUGCACAUUAAUGAAAGAUCUACCAACCAUAAUAGCGGUCAAGAUAGAGUACCACAAUCAUCAAGGAUAUCUAGUAAUGCUGAAAUUGCUCUACCUCAUCGUACUACUCAUCUUUAUCUUUUGACACUAUUCUUUGUGUUUUCUUGCUUUGUAAGUAUGUGUUGAAUAGUAGAAUUCCAAGAGACAAAAGAUAGUCAAGAGAGAAUGUGAACUCAAUUAUUUUUGAUGUGAGAUGUUGUAUGCGAAAUGGUGAAAUGCUAUUAUUAAUCAGUU